UUGAACGCUGGCGGCAGACCUAACACAUGCCAGUCGAGCGGAUGAAGGGAGCUUGCUCCUGGAUUCAGCGGCGGACGGGUGAGUAAUGCCUAGGAAUCUGCCUGGUAGUGGGGGAUAACGUCCGGAAACGGGCGCUAAUACCGCAUACGUCCUGAGGGAGAAAGUGGGGGAUCUUCGGACCUCACGCUAUCAGAUGAGCCUAGGUCGGAUUAGCUAGUUGGUGGGGUAAAGGCCUACCAAGGCGACGAUCCGUAACUGGUCUGAGAGGAUGAUCAGUCACACUGGAACUGAGACACGGUCCAGACUCCUACGGGAGGCAGCAGUGGGGAAUAUUGGACAAUGGGCGAAAGCCUGAUCCAGCCAUGCCGCGUGUGUGAAGAAGGUCUUCGGAUUGUAAAGCACUUUAAGUUGGGAGGAAGGGCAGUAAGUUAAUACCUUGCUGUUUUGACGUUACCAACAGAAUAAGCACCGGCUAACUUCGUG
rnacentral:rRNA from 1 species